rnacentral:rRNA from 1 species
UACGUAGGGGGCAAGCGUUGUCCGGAUUUACUGGGCGUAAAGAGCGUGUAGGCGGCCAAGCAGGUCCGUUGUGGAAAACUAGGAGGCUUAACCUCCAGACGUCGACGGAAACCUGACGUGGGCUAGAGUCCGGAAGAGGAGAGUGGAAGUUCCUGGUGUAGCGGUGAAAGUGACGCAGAUAUCAGGAAGAACACCAAUGGCGAAGGCAGCUCUCUGGGACGGUACUGACGCUGAGACGCGAAAGCGUGGGGAGCGAAACAGGAUUAGACGUACCCGUGU